AGGAUAUGGAUAAUGAAGGCAGUUGGAGAAGGUGGCAUAAAUAAUUCUCAGUUAUGAAUAUCGUAACAAAAUAGUCUGUAAUUAAAAUCAACAAAUGAAUGCAUUGGAGGAUGGUUGUUGCAAUGUGUUAUUGAAAUCCAUACUCGGCUCUCAAACAGACUCUCUCUCACUCUCUAAGUUUUUCAACUCGUUCGCAAAUAGUGUAAUAGCCCUAUUAACGUAGUAGAUUGAAUGUAACCCCUUUGCACAAACCCCCCAAUAGAGCACACACACACACACGUACUCACAGAUGCUUACACAGAGUCAGUUAAAUGUCGUAGAUUGUUGCACUCUCUCCAUGGCAAAAUGAAUUCAUUGAAGAAGGAGAAUCAUCGAUGUGGAAAAGGACGUGAGAGAAGAGAGCUGAUAGAGGAGGUGGGGUGGGUUGAAAUGAAGGCAACAAAAAAGUGUUUUCAAUUUCAACAAAAUUGCAAAAUCGCAGACAUAUUGACAUCAUGCGAUAUGCAAAUAAAUAAACAACAACGACAACAGCAACACCAAAGGGAAAAAGAGCAAAACAAAUAACAACUAUACAAUGCAAAGUAGACAAAAAGAAAAACAAGAAACAGAACAGAAAAUAGCACUGAAUUUCAAAACAAAACGUCAUCGUCGUCGUCAUAAUAAUAAAAUAAAACAGCAAAAGAUGAUGAUGAAGUGGAAGAAGCAUAAAACACGAAAGCCAACAGCAAGUGACAAUACAAACAAUCUCAUAAUGAGCACACACACAGUCUCCUCCUCCCCCCAUCCCAUCCCAUGGCAAACUGCUGCUGCGUUCAUGCUUCAAAACUAGAACGUGUUGAAAUUUUCGUCUACGGAAAACGAUGUCAUCGUCAUUGCAAUUGUGUGACAUGGAAGGAAACGUGUUGUGAAUUUGGAAUAAAAACUGAUGAGAAGCAAGGAUAUCAGCACGAAAUAGACGUAGAAGAAGAAGGAAACGAAAGAAACUUGGUUGACAGGUAUUACCAGAUCUCGACCAAAAAUUGGGGAUUUUUUUCUUCAAAAAGGUAAGAAAAGCAAUGGAUAUAAAAGAGGAUCAGAUGAACACAGAACAUAGUCCCACAUGUAAAUAUAAUGAAGAAGUGUUGGAGUUGAAGCAAAUCUACUGGAGAAUCUACACACGUUUCCCAAAAAAAUAUAAUCCCACAGCCAUAUAUGAUAAUCAUUUAACCCCAACACAAUGGUAUUUCUCUCGAUAUGGCAACAUUGUCCUCGUCAGCAACACUUGUCUUGUCGUGUGUUGUUUGUUUUUAUAGAAUGAUGAUGCCUCAACUGGGCUCCCCUAUCACCUCUCUCUCUCGCUCUCUUCCACAUUGUUGGCUCCCCAAUAGCCUUGCCUGAGAGAAGUUGCGUUGGGCAAUGAAGUUUGUGUAAAAUAAGUGAGAAGGGAAUCCAAGAGACAGGAGAGCCGCUAAAUAUGAAAAUAAAGAAGAAGAAAUACUGAAUUACUGAAAUACUCGUAAAAUGACGUGACGUUUUGUGAUGUGCGUGACGUGGUGUGGUUUCCACCCGUCUUUUGAGGUUGCUCUUUUUCAUUUGUCGGUAGGUAGGUAGUUGUUGGUGUCUUGUGUACAUACUACAGACAUACGAACAUAAGUAUUUACGUUACAAUUUUUUCGUUUUCUCUUUUUAAGUCUUUAAAAGUUUAUUUAUUUGUAAAGAAUAAGGAGAAUAAUAAAACAACAUAAAAUACCUAAAUUAAAUAAAAAAACAAAACUAUGCAGUAUAGAACCUAAGCAAAAAACUCACCCUGUGCAAAAAUAGACGUAGAAUGAAAAAAAUAAAAAAAUACAAUAACAAAAACGGGGAAAAAAAAAGCCAAUCAAAUGAAAUUGAAUUUCAUUGGAGGCCGAAAUGUUGCAAAAAAAGGAACAUUAAUUUAUGUAAAUAUAUAUUUUUUGUUUAAAUUUCUGGCAUCUUUAAGAUGUCGAAAACCCCCUUAAAUCUAAAACCUGGAAAGAUGCAAUUUCUAUUUUAUUUUAAACUAUUUUAAAUUACCUAUAAAAAACUACCUAUAUUCUCUAAUUUUGAAUAAGUUACUUUUUUGUGUAUAAAAUACUUUUAGUUAGAUUAAUAUUUUAAUGAAAAUAUAUAUUUGUUUUAAGUUAAGAAAUCUGAACUGCUUAAAAAUAUACCAAAUUAAACAAACCCUGGAUUAGCUACCUAAAUAAAUUACCCGAGGCAGUUUAGUUGUAGAACACCUUGUAAUAAUAUUUGUAAGUUUCCUUGUUUAUAAACAUAUUCAACUAAACAUAUAAUAAAUAAUACUGAAAUAAACAUAUAUUAGAAUAACAAAAACAACUAAUAUUAAUUAAUAAUUAAAUUAAUACAGCACAAGGCUAAUUUCAAUAAAGAAAAAAACAAAAUCAAAUGAAUUACAAACAAAUCAAUGUUAGUUUUAAACACUUUUUAAGCACAAUAUUAGUUUAAACAAAAAAACAAUGAUAUUCAAAGUAACUACAACUGACAAACUUCUACGCUAAAUUAGUAAAUCUUUUAGAACUCCUUCCUGUCCUCUAAAUGAAUUUUCCGAACAUGAAAUACAAACUUGAGAAAAAGAAAAAAAAAACAAAAACAAUCACCCAUCCCUUUUUAGAUGUUAAACUAAAACAAAUGUACUCUAAACAUAUACAACAACAACAACUACAAUUAAAUGUAUGUAAUUAUGGUAAUCGUAAUCUUAAUAAUGUUAUUCUUUUCAAAUACAAACAACAACAACAAAACAAAGUUAUCAAAACUAUUUAACACAAUAAACCAAUAAAAUGGAAUACCUACA